CCCCCGCCCCCUCACACAUCUCACCAGCGACAAGUGUUGCAAACCAACACCCACAGGUGCCGUCGAUGGCGGCGGCAAGUGAUGGAGACGCGCGGCGGCCGGCAUUGGGGCGUUGCAACCACGGCGACAAGUGAUGGAGAUCCGGCCUUUUGUUUUUGGAAGCAGGCCCAAUUUUUGCUGCUAACACCUUCGUUUUUUUGCUGGAACAGUCUUUUUUUUUUGCUACCAUGUGUUUUGCUUUUUGCCGGAACCAACUUCAAGCCGGCAUGGGGAAAAAGCUUCCACCCUAGGGAGAAAAAGCUUCAACCGGCUGGAAGAAAAGCUUCAAGUGCCAUGAGGAAAAAGCUUCCAUCGUAGGAAAAAAGCUUCAUUGGUGGAAAAAGCUUCAACCCGUAAUUUAAUUUGCUGGAAGAGUACCUGGAUGAGAACAAGCAGCUGAUCCUGGCCAUCCUCGACAACCAGAACAACGGCAAGGUGGAAGAGUGCGCACGGAACCAAGCUAAGCUUCAACAGAACCUUAUGUAACUCGUCGCCAUCGCCAACAGCCAGCCGCCGCAGACGGCGUUGCUGUCUCAGGUGGGUUGUGCGGGUUGAUUAGGGCUAAAGGCAGGGGGCAAACUGCAAAAUACGCGGCGCUGACCGGCCCAGCCCAGCUGGCUCAACUUGGCGAGCUGUGAUUCGCCCAGGACCAAAUUUGCACUUCCAUGACAAGUUCAAGGACCAAAUAAUCACCUUUUUCAAGUUUGAGGACCAAACCAUCACCUUUAUGACAAGUUCAGGGACCUGCAGUGCUAUUACCUCUUGCUGGAACUCAUUGAUGUUUUUGCUAGAACCAAUUUUCUUCAUGAGGCGCGGCGGCGAGCCACUUUUUUAUUUUUGCUGCAUUUGUGUUUUUUUGCUGGAACCAUCAACCGGUUUUGCUACAACGAGCUUUGAUUUUUGCUGGAACCGCCUGAAGCGGAGCGGGGACCAGAUUUGUUAGCAACUGAUUUUUGUUGCAACCAUCCAAUCGAUGAGCAGCGACGGCGAGCCGGUGAGCGGCGGCCACAGAGCUUGAAGCGGGAGGCCAUGGAAGGGCGACGAGGAAGAAGGAGGGUUGGGGAAAACUGUCGAAAGGAAGGAGACAGGCGCGUGGGAGGAGAGGGGGUGAAAUCGUGUGGUCUGGAACACACGCAUCAUGUGCGGCUGGGGGCCGACCAGCCCAAAGUUUGGGCCGGCGCACCGGCGCCUAUCGCCCCCCUUGCAAUAGGUUGAUGGUUACAUCGUUAUUACAAGUGGCAAAAUAAACAUGGGUCGGUCACCAUCCCAGAAAACAUUAGAAAUUGAAUCAUAAGCAUGCCUAGCUAGACUAUGGGCCACCUUA